UACGUAGGGUGCAAGCGUUAAUCGGAAUUACUGGGCGUAAAGCGUGCGCAGGCGGUUAUGCAAGACAGAUGUGAAAUCCCCGGGCUCAACCUGGGAACUGCAUUUGUGACUGCAUAGCUAGAGUACGGUAGAGGGGGAUGGAAUUCCGCGUGUAGCAGUGAAAUGCGUAGAUAUGCGGAGGAACACCGAUGGCGAAGGCAAUCCCCUGGACCUGUACUGACGCUCAUGCGACGAAAGCGUGGGGAGCAAACAGG
rnacentral:rRNA from 1 species